UACGAAGGGACCUAGCGUAGUUCGGAAUUACUGGGCUUAAAGAGUUCGUAGGUGGUUGAAAAAGUUGGUGGUGAAAUCCCAGGGCUUAACUCUGGAACUGCCAUCAAAACUUUUCAGCUAGAGUAUGAUAGAGGAAAGCAGAAUUUCUAGUGUAGAGGUGAAAUUCGUAGAUAUUAGAAAGAAUACCAAUUGCGAAGGCAGCUUUCUGGAUCAUUACUGACACUGAGGAACGAAAGCAUGGGUAGCGAAGAGG
rnacentral:rRNA from 1 species